rnacentral:rRNA from 1 species
UACGAGGGGGGCAAAUGUUGUUCGGAAUCACUGGGCGUAAAGGGAGCGUAGGCGGGUUUCUAAGUCAGGUGUUUAAUCCCGGGGCCCAACCCCGGACAGGCACUUGAAACUGGGAAUCUUGAAUAGUGGAGAGGUCAGUGGAAUUGGGGGUGUAGCGGUGGAAUGCGUAGAGAUCCCCAAGAACACCAGUUGCGAAGGCGGCUGACUGGACACAUAUUGACGCUGAGGCUCGAAAGCAUGAGGAGCAAACAGGG